GGUCUAGGUGGAUUCUUAAGUCAAAUGUGAAAUCUCUCGGCUUAACUGAGAAACUGCAUCUGAAACUGGGAAUCUUGAGCACGGUAGAGGAGAGUGGAACUCUCAGUGUAGCGGUGGAAUGCGUAGAUAUUGAGAGGAACACCAUUGGCGAAGGCAGCUCUCUGGACCGUUGCUGACACUAAAGCCCGAAAGCUGGGGUAGCGAACA
rnacentral:rRNA from 1 species